AACGAACGCUGGCGGUAUGCUUAACACAUGCAAGUCGAACGAAUGUAUUAAUUUCGGUUAAUACGUUAGUGGCAGACGGGUGAGUAACGCGUGGGAAUGUACCCUUUAGUUCAGAAUAACUACGGGAAACUGUAGCUAAUACUGGAUAAGCCCUUCGGGGGAAAGAUUAAUCGCUAAAGGAACAGCCCGCGUUAGAUUAGGUAGUUGGUGAGGUAAAGGCUCACCAAGCCGACGAUCUAUAGCUGGUUUGAGAGGAUGAUCAGCCACACUGGGACUGAGACACGGCCCAGACUCCUACGGGAGGCAGCAGUGGGGAAUAUUGGACAAUGGGGGCAACCCUGAUCCAGCAAUACCGCGUGAGUGAAGAAGGCCUUCGGGUUGUAAAGCUCUUUUACCGGGGAAGAUAAUGACGGUACCCGGGGAAUAAGCUCCGGCUAACUUCGUGCCAGCCGCCGCAGUAAUAC
rnacentral:rRNA from 1 species